AGAUAAUAAUUGAAUAAUUUAAUGAUUUCCCUUUCAUAUUUGAUAUUGAUUAGCUCACCAAUCAAUACGUAAUAGAACUCUCUUCGAUUUUUUUGAUUGAUAUAUAAAAUAAUUGAAUUAGGAAAUCCUCUAUUUACUGAAUAAUAACUUUUUUGUUGACAAAAGAAUAAAGAUCAUUUCUAUUCCAAGGUGGGGAGUUUGAUUUUCCCCAUCGACCUA
rnacentral:misc_RNA from 1 species